UAGGGAAUUUUCGUCAAUGGGGGGAACCCUGAACGAGCAAUGCCGCGUGUGUGAAGAAGGUCUUCGGAUCGUAAAGCACUGUUGUAAGUGAAGAAUGCCAUAUAGAGGAAAUGCUAUGUGGGUGACGGUAGCUUACCAGAAAGCCACGGCUAACUACGUGCCAGCAGCCGCGGUAAUACGUAGGUGGCAAAGCGUUAUCCGGAAUCAUUGGGCGUAAAGGGUGCGUAGGUGCACGAUAAGUCUGAAGUAAAAGGCAACAGCUCAACUGUUGUAUGCUUUGGAAACUGUCGAGCUAGAGUGCAGAAGAGGGCGAUGGAAUUCCAUGUGUAGCGGUAAAAUGCGUAGAUAUAUGGAGGAACACCAGUGGCGAAGGCGGUCGCCUGGUCUGUAACUGACACUGAUGCACGAAGGCGUGGGGAGCAAACAGGAUUAAAACC
rnacentral:rRNA from 1 species